rnacentral:rRNA from 1 species
UUUUUGAAUAUAAUUUAAAGUCUAACCUGCCCACUGAUUUUAUAAUUGAAGGGCCGCAGUAUUUUGACUGUGCAAAGGUAGCAUAAUCAUUAGUUUUUUAAUUGAGGACUUGUAUGAAUGGUUGGACGAGGUAUUAACUGUCUCUAUUUAAUAAAUGAUUGAAUUUAAUUUUUGAAUUAAAAAGUUUAAAUUUAAUUAAAAGACGAGAAGACCCUAUAGAUCUUUAUAUUUUAAUUAUUAAAAAAUUAUUAGAAUUAUAAUAUUUAUUAAUAUUUAAAUUAUUUUAUUGGGGUGAUGUAAAAAUUUAUAUAACUUUUUAUUUUUAUAAACAUUAAUUUAUGAAUAAAUGAUCCAAUUUUAUUGAUUAUAAGAUUAAGUUACCUUAGGGAUAACAGCGUAAUUUUAUUGGAGAGUUCAUAUCGAUAAUAAAGAUUGCGACCUCGAUGUUGAAUUAAGAGUAAUUUUAGGUGUAGAAGUUUAAAAUUUUAGUCUGUUCGACUAUUAAAUUCUU